rnacentral:rRNA from 1 species
UGUUUCGGCUAGGGGGUCAUCCCGACUUACCAACCCGAUGCAAACUACGAAUACCGAAGAAUGUUAUCACGGGAGACACACGGCGGGUGCUAACGUCCGUCGUGAAGAGGGAAACAACCCAGACCGCCAGCUAAGGUCCCAAAGUCAUGGUUAAGUGGGAAACGAUGUGGGAAGGCACAGACAGCCAGGAUGUUGGCUUAGAAGCAGCCAUCAUUUAAAGAAAGCGUAAUAGCUCACUGGUCGAGUCGGCCUGCGCGGAAGAUGUAACGGGGCUAAACCAUGCACCGAAGCUGCGGCAGCGACACUAUGUGUUGUUGGGUAGGGGAGCGUUCUGUAAGCC